UCCUACGGGAGGCAGCAGUGGGGAAUCUUGGACAAUGGGGGCAACCCUGAUCCAGCCAUGCCGCGUGAGUGAUGAAGGCCUUAGGGUCGUAAAGCUCUUUCGCCUGUGAAGAUAAUGACGGUAGCAGGUAAAGAAACCCCGGCUAACUCCGUGCCAGCAGCCGCGGUAAUACGGAGGGGGUUAGCGUUGUUCGGAAUUACUGGGCGUAAAGCGCACGUAGGCGGACCAGAAAGUUGGGGGUGAAAUCCCGGGGCUCAACCCCGGAACUGCCUCCAAAACUAUUGGUCUAGAGUUCGAGAGAGGUGAGUGGAAUUCCAAGUGUAGAGGUGAAAUUCGUAGAUAUUUGGAGGAACACCAGUGGCGAAGGCGGCUCACUGGCUCGAUACUGACGCUGAGGUGCGAAAGUGUGGGGAGCAAACAGGAUUAGAUACCCUGGUAGUCCACACCGUAAACGAUGAAUGCCAGUCGUCGGGUAGCAUGCUAUUCGGUGACACACCUAACGGAUUAAGCAUUCCGCCUGGGGAGUACGGUCGCAAGAUUAAAACUCAAAUGAAUUGACGGGGACCCGCACAAGUAGCGGAGCAUGUGGUUUAAUUCGAAGCAACGCGAAGAACCUUACCAAAUCUUGACAUCCUAAUGAUCGAUUCUUAAUCGAAUCUUCUCUUUGGAGCAUUAGUGACAGUGGUGCAUGGUUGUCGUCAGCUCGUGUCGUGAGAUGUUGGGUUAAGUCCCGCAACGAGCGCAACCCUUGUCUUUAGUUGCAGCAGUUAAGCUGGGCACUCUAGAGAGACUGCGUGACAACACGAGAAGGUGGGGAUGACGUCAAAUCAUCAUGCCCUUAUGAUUUGGGCCUACACCACACGGUG
rnacentral:rRNA from 1 species